rnacentral:rRNA from 1 species
AUUGAACGCUGGCGGCAGGCCUAACACAUGCAAGUCGAACGAGUGGCGGACGGGUGAGUAAUGUCUGGGAAACUGCCUGAUGGAGGGGGAUAACUACUGGAAACGGUAGCUAAUACCGCAUACCAUCAGAUGUGCCCAGAUGGGAUGAGCUUGUUGGUGGGGUAACGGCUCACCAGGGCGACGAUCCCUAGCUGGUCUGAGAGGAUGACCAGCACAACUGGAACUGAGACACGGUCCAGAUUCCUACGGGAGGGAGGAGUGGGGAAUAUUGCAGAAUGGGCGCAAGCCUGAUGCAGCCAUGCCGCGUGUAUGAAGAAGGCCUUAGGGUUGGAAAGUACUUUCAGCGGGGAGGCGUUACCCGCCGAAGAAGCACCGGCUAACUCCGUGCCAGCAGCCGCGGUAAUUC